rnacentral:misc_RNA from 1 species
GGUUUGUUGCGGAUGGUUGGAUGUCUGCUUGCGCAGCAACUUCCAUGCGGGCUUACCUCUUCAAUUGUGCUACAAGCCUUGUUUGGCUUGCAGCGUUUGGUGGGUUUCUUGUGUUGCUUACCUAAUCGAUGGCAUUGUUUGUCCCUAUAAGUUAGAUUUUGUAACACGUUGCUUGCGGCGUGAUACAAACGAUGAAGCAACCUUUGUUGUUCAACCUGUUGCUGCUCAUGCAUCGAUGGCUUGGCCCAUGAAGUGUUGAUUGGUCCCUUGGAUAUGGAACAUGAUGUGGGCACAAGUUCGCCAAAGAUCUUGAAUUUGCCCUUAUCGAGUGAUUUAGCUUCUUUAAAUGACCGUCGUCCGUGUA